UACUUUAUUUUCUUUGUUUUUGUUCUUUGUUUUGUUUUGUUUUUGUUUUCUUUCUAAAAAAAAUUGCAUUUUUGUUGAAAGUUUUAGGCUAUAGAAUAAUUUGAGGUCGAGUUUGCGGAGACUUGGAAAAAAUUCACAAGAUCGGUAUUGUUUUAACACCGUGAGUCUCCUGCAUAUGGAAAUUGAGUUGAAUUUUUAUUAUGACAUAGCCUUAAAUUCUCAUUCUCUGACAGUUCUUGAGUAGUUUAUUUCAGCAGUCAGCACCAUCUCACACACACUCUACGCAGGGAAGCCGAUGAAUAUAAGUGAGUGUUCCGAAAAAGAAAAAAAAAGAAAAAAAAUAAAGGAAUGCACCUUCUA
rnacentral:lncRNA from 1 species